GUGAAUCAUCAAAUCUUUGAACGCAAAUUGCACUCUCUGGUAUUCCGGAGAGUAUGCCUGUUUGAGGGUCAGUUUAAAUAAAAAUCGGUGUGGUUGCUGCCUUUCUUGGUGACGCACCGGAUUGGGGCCUUCUUGCUUUCGGUUAAGUAACCUAAAAUUUUGCUUGAUUUUUUUCGAAGGAAUUUAAAUAAUUUUACGUACGUUUGCGUUAUGAAAGCGUA
rnacentral:misc_RNA from 1 species